rnacentral:rRNA from 1 species
AUUGAACGCUGGCGGCAGGCCUAACACAUGCAAGUCGAGCGAGCGGCGGACGGGUGAGUAAUGUCUGGGAAACUGCCUGAUGGAGGGGGAUAACUACUGGAAACGGUAGCUAAUACCGCAUACCAUCAGAUGUGCCCAGAUGGGAUUAGCUCGUAGGUGGGGUAACGGCGCACGUAGGCGACGAUCCCUAGCUGGUCUGAGAGGAUGACCAGCCACACUGGAACUGAGACACGGUCCAGCCUCCGACGGGAGGCAGCAGUGGCGAAUAGUGCACAAUGGGCGCAAGCCUGAUGCAGCCAUGCCGGGUGUGUGAAGAAGGCCUUCGGGUUGUAAAGCACUUUCAGCGGGGAGGCGUUACCCGCAGAAGAAGCACCGGCUAACUCCUUGCCAGCAGCCGCGGUAAUU